AGCCGAACUAGGUCGGGGAGCUAGGCACUCUCUGUUACCCGAAGUCUAUACGCGGGGACGACAGCCUGAAAAGGUCAACUUAGCCUCUGCAAAGCCUUUGGUAAGCAAUGAAACUCUAUCCUCAUGGAUCGGGGUUUUGUUCAGUCAGACUCAAAGGAGAUUGCCUGAACAAUUCAUCUGGUGAAUCCGCCAGGUCCGGAAGGGAGCAACGGUAACCAGAACUUUCGAUGCUGUGAGGGGACUGGGGUAGAGUAAAUCAAGGGGUAAACUUUGCAGGACGUUAAGCCCGAUUCAGGCAUGUUCGGUA
rnacentral:SRP_RNA from 1 species